rnacentral:tmRNA from 2 species
GGGGCCGUAAAGGUUUCGACGGGGAUCGUGAAGUCGGGGUAGCGAGUAGAGGAGCAUGCACCUCUAUAAAAGUAUGACGUUUUCAAAAUUAGACGACAACAAUAAUUUUGCUUUUGCGGCUUAAUUAAGCCGCCGUCCAACCGGUGAGUACCACGGCUCCGGAUUGGGCGUCGAUGAGUGGUGAACGAUCCCGCCGAGCGUCCCGUAGGCGGGCUUGUAUCAGGGGCUACCAAACCGUUUAGCCUGUCGUCCGGCGAUUCGGCAAGGGAAUUUCAAAAGAACGACUGCACUCGGAGAAACUCCUAUGGAUUGGUUUUCGGACAGGGGUUCGAUUCCCCUCGGCUCCACCA